AGAAAACGAAUUAAACGGUGUUGAUCGAAUUGGAAAAAUAAUUCAGGGAAUGAACCGCUUCGAGAAUGGUAACUAGGCAAAUCCUAAAUAUAUAUAACCGAUAAAUUGUCAACUUAAAUAUAUCUUUCACAGUUUCUUAUAUGAUUACUAAGUACAAAAAAGAUUUAAUUGAAAUAGUAGCCAACAACAAAGUAAAAGCGAACAAUAGAAAAACAGAUCGUAGCAGACAUUGAUUUAAUGUUAAAGUUACAUAAAUCACCUCUAUACGGAUCGAUAAACAGUAUCUGUUAUCUAAAUGAUCGGUUACAUCGCUGAUCGUUUAUGUCCGAUUUAAACUUUCAAUUGUAAUUAUUAUCUGGAUUUCGGUAAUUGUCACAUACCUAAGCAACAUUGGCGUAACGUCGCGUGAAAUCAAGAAAGAUGCAGCCAACGAGAUCACCGCAAUUCUAGAACGACACAGACGUAGCUGGCUUGGACAAGAAAAAUCUAGAAGUUUAUACAAUUACGCAACAAUUCGCCAUAUUAAACUGCAACAUGUGCACAAUUACAAAACAUCCGUGUCGACGUUUGGCGCCGUCGUAAUUGUCCAAAUAGCUAGUCGCGCACAGGAACCAUCGUAAAAUAAUAUACAUAUUCCGAGUACAUUCGAAGAAUUCUAAAAUUCCAAACAAAUUACUAAUCAAUCGAUAUUAAAUAAAAUGAAGAGUGUAUGUAUAUCAUAUAUAUUAUAUAUAUCAUAGUUAUAGUUUAUAUAUAGACCGGCCGUUUCGAAACGAUAAGAUCAUCAACGGUUCAGAAGAUAUUAAAGGCAAUUAAAACCAGAUUACGAACUGUUUUAACUGAAUCUUUUAGCGAUAAUAAUGAUUCAUGUCUGAUAAUGAUCAAACAAAAUUGGUAUGCACGUUAAUCUCGCCGCUAAUGUUAAACAAUCGUUCCUUAAAAGUAUAAAAAUUUCGAAACAUUAAUAGAAAAUUUUCUGAAACGUUAAUGAAUUUCUUAAUGAGUUCAAUGUCUUAUAGGUCCAAUACAUCUACUUCUCAGUGCAUUAAUCAUAAGAAAAUAGUUCAGCAGACGCGAGACCGCAGUAUGACGAAUGUAAAAUGCAUCCAACAAUAACGUCAUCGCGACAAUGAUUCCGGUACGGCGCGGAAACUCGGAGUUCAUUGUAAAAGACGUAUUUACGUCACACCCGAUCUGUGACUCAUUUCCUCUUUCCCAGUAAUUGAUUCACAGUUCCACCUACAAUAAUUGACAUUCGAAUUUUCUAUUACAGGCUCAAACAGAUCGAUGAAUCGACAGGUGCACAAUUUAAAACAAAAUUUAAAAAAGAAGAGAUCGAAGUCUAUUUUUUCCAACAAAAUAUUUUUCUUUUUAUCAAGUUUUAUAUUUUAUUUUCAGUGUAUUAAUGAUAUGAAAUUCAAUGUACUUUAACCUAAACAAUUGUUAUGUAAAUGCUAUAAUAAAUAUAAUGAUAUGCAAAUACCUUUUCUAGUCACUAUUUAUGUACAAGUUCCCGUGAACCUGUGGCUCCUAAUAUUUCCUAUAUUUAAAAAUAGCUUUAAUCUGUUUCGAAGUAUUAGAUAUUGCGUGGUCUCUUAUCGAGACAAGUAAUCACGAUC
rnacentral:misc_RNA from 1 species